GGUCAUGAGUGCCAGCGUUCAGCCCCGGCUUGCUGGCCGGCAACCCCGGCGUUCGCGGGCGGGGUGCUCCGGGUGAGGACCGGGCUCGGCGCACCGGCGUCGGGCAAGCCGCGAAG
rnacentral:ncRNA from 2 species